CUUAUCUUUUACUUAGCUAUAUCUGCACAGAAUAAGUACAAGAUGCUUUCAGGCAAAAAUGUCCCUUAAUUUACAUCACUUGUGUCUUUUCUUGCCUUGUGCAUUCCAACUAUAUACACAUAUCUGUUCUCAGAUGAGGAACAAUGCACUGAGAUUACACUGUGCUGCAUAGCAAGCAGAUUUUUCUCUUGAAAUGAAAUGUUGACAUACUGGAUGAGUAGACAUGUAGCCCUUUCCUACAGGAUGUGGCUGGGUCAAGGUUUUAGUGUGAUUCAACUAGGUACUGGAGAUGUAUUGACUGAAAUAAAAUUGCAUUGGCUAAGUAUCCAAUGUUAACAUAUAUGACAAUAAUGAAGAAUCUAUUUGUGGAUGAUAAAAAUACACCUAAAAUAAUCUUAUGAUUGCAGGAUGACAUUUCAAAGGGAGACAGAAAUAGUUUUUUCUUCAUCUAUCUAUGCUGAAGCUUGUCCAUUUUAAACUUCUGCUGUCAGCAGCCCUGCUGGAGAUAGAAUGAUAACAUUCAUGGGUCUCAUCUGAUCCAGCAUGUGAACAUGUUUAUGAAGCAGCAGUAUCAGAAACAAUAAGGACAAAGACCUCCUUUAGAUAAAUAUCAGAGCCUUAGGCAUCAAGACCACAGUUAAAAUACAGAGGAAAAUAAAAUAAAAAUAGAAAGGUUCACUGUAAGUGAUGCUCAAACACUGGAAGUUUCUCUGAGUUCCAAAGGCUUGAGGAUGAACAAUGGUUCCAGAACUCCUUACUGUGAUCUUCCUGCCACAGUUCUUACCUCUUGUUAGUUACCAGCAUCCCUACCUGACAACAAGGAAUGUCGCUCUGGAGUUCACACUCCCCAAUGACACCUAGUGCAGAGAGCAGGAGAUCUGCAGGAAGAGAAAAAGGCAUCCAAGGAGCUAAAAAUGUCCCCAUAGGUGCUAACAGGAAGUUUCUCUUCAUUUCUGUUACACUUCUAAGUAGGCUGAGAGACAAGACACUUCCACACAUUCACACAGAGAAAACAGCCUCCAUUCAACUAUUGCUUUAAUUCCUUGCUGUUAGAAAGUGUUAUGCGGAGUCAUCUGUCAGAAGAAGGAAUGGUCAGAUUAGUGAAGUUCCCAUUUCCUUAACACUGACAUCACAGAACUUGUAAGUCUUAUAAAACAUAUAGGUCAUAGAGUUUGCAAUUGAGGAAUGAUCAGUUUCAUCUCUACUUUUAAAACUGUGGUCUUUGUAAUAUUUUGGUGCUUUAAGAGAGGUAAGUUUUCUUCCUUCCUCCCUCCAGAACCUUCAAAAAAUAAAAAUUAAUCUUAUGUAUUGUCA
rnacentral:lncRNA from 1 species